rnacentral:snRNA from 1 species
UCACUCUGGCUUCUCUUGUGCAUGUGAUCGCUGUUAAUUGUGUACAUAUGUCAUGCCAAUAAAAAAAAAAAAAAAAAAAGAUCAUUUUGCCUUUUACUAAAGAAUUCCGUGGAGAGGAGCAGUUCAAUGAGUCUUGAUCAUUUUUCGAUAUCCGACUUUGGUCGGUUU